rnacentral:rRNA from 1 species
CCUACGGGUGGCAGCAGUGGGGAAUAUUGCACAAUGGGGGAACCCCUGAUGCAGCGACGCCGCGUGAGUGAAGAAGUAUUUCGGUAUGUAAAGCUCUAUCAGCAGGGGAGAAAAUGACGGUACGUGAUUAAGAAGCCCCGGCUAACUACGUGCCAGCAGCCGCGGUAAUACGUAGGGGGCAAGAGUUAUCCGGAUUUACUGGGUGUAAAGGGAGCGUAGACGGCAGAACAAGUCUGGAGUGAAAUGCCGGGGCUUAACCCCGGAACUGCUGUUGACACUGUGCAUCUAGAGUGCAGGAGAGGUAAGUGGAAUGCCUGGUGUAGCGGUGAAAUGCGUAGAGAUUAGGAGGAACACCAGUGGCGAAGGCAGCUUACUGGAUUGGAACUGACGUUGAGGCUCGAAAGCGUGGGGAGCAAACAGGAUUAGAUACCCCGGUAGUC